rnacentral:rRNA from 1 species
AGCAGCCGCGGUAAUUCCAGCUCCAAUAGCGUAUAUUAAAGUUGUUGCAGUUAAAAAGCUCGUAGUUGAAUUUUGGGUCUGGGCGGGCGGUCCACCUUCCGGUGAGCACUGUUCCGACGCCGGGCCUAUCCUUCUGGUGAGUCGGCAUGCCCUUCGCUGGGUGUGUCGGGGAACCAGGACCAUUACCUUGAAAAAAUUAGAGUGUUCAAAGCAGGCAUUUGCUCGAAUACAUUAGCAGUGGAAUAAUGAAAUAGGACGCGUGGUACUAUUUUGUUGGUUUCUAGGACCGCCGUAAUGAUUAAUAGGGAUAGUUGGGGGCAUUAGUAUUCAAUUGUCAGAGGUGAAAUUCUUGGAUUUAUUGAAGACUAACUUCUGCGAAAGCAUUUGCCAAGGAUGUUUUCAUUAAUCAAGAACGAAAGUUAGGGGAUCGAAGACGAUCAGAUACCGUCGUAGUCUUAACCAUAAACUAUGCCGACUAGGAAUCGGGCGAUGUUAUUUUAACGACUCGCCCGGCGCCUUA